UGUACUUUCCAAGCCCUUAGUACAGUGCUCUGCACACGAUGGUCAAAUUUCUGCUUCCUAUAUUAGAGACAUAGAAUGAAACAGACAGUUACGGAGCACAAAGAAAUGAAGACUGAGCAAGAUCUUUGAAAGUUUUUUUUUUUUCCUGAAAUCCAUGGCUCUGCCUGCUUUGAUUCUGCAAUUCCAGCAAGAGGACCUCCUUACACCACAUUAAUCAUGUUCUGUGGAAGAGUUUCUGUGUUUUCUUCUGCAGUGCACUGUUGUCCCUGAAGAGUGAAAAAAAAAAUCUCCUUUGGAAAAAAAAAUCUCUCUAAAUGAGGAUUUAAAUUGAAAUUAUUGGUGAAGUUAAAUGGAAAAAAAUAUGCCCAGCAAAAUUAGAAUAGGUAUUUACAUAGAAAUAUAGAUCUUUAAUUACUUUCCUCCUUGGUAUGUCAAAAACUCCCUAAUGUGUUAACUAAAAAUGCUUUAGGGUUUCAUGAUGCCAAUACCAAGCCUACUUCACUGUUACUAUGUGCUUGACACAUAGUAAGCGCUUAACAAAUGCCAUCAUCAUCAUCAUCAUCAUACAGAAAACUCUCCCAUAUCUAAAUAUCAGAAUUUUCAUACAUGAUAUCAAUCAAUCAGAUUAACUGAGUGCUUAGUGUAGGCAAAGAAUGCAUUUGGAAGAGUGCCUUCCCAAAUUCUGCCUGUCCCAUGCAGGGUCUACUAAUAUGGCCACUCAAAUAAAAAUUGAGCUGCCAGUGCUUUUCAGAUUCAUUUUUUCAGUCAAUCAUAUUUAUUAAGCGCUUACUGGGUGUAGAGCGCUGUACUGAGCGCUUGGGAAAGUAC